rnacentral:lncRNA from 1 species
UCAAACAAUCCGGCGAGAAUUUCCUUGCAAACAAAUACGAACUGGAGUAAUUCGAUUUCCUUAACUCGUCAAUCAACACCGGUGAUAUUUCAGUCGGCCGGUAGGUGUAAGGAUGGCCGUUGGUAGUGCCUGUCCAAUUGACCCUUGUUAGCGUGUAGUGAGUACAGCCUUUAGGAUCCGCCAUUGAUAAGAGAGUAGGAAAAUAAUGCUCUUCUGGGUAACACUCAUCAGCUCUGUAACAGGGUUGCUUAAAUUUCUUCCAAAGACUCCGAUCCUUAAUCACUAUGAGCGCGUGGCGGCGCGUUAACACAAAAAACUGAGA